rnacentral:rRNA from 1 species
UACGGAGGGUGCGAGCGUUGUCCGGAAUCACUGGGCGUAAAGGGCGCGUAGGUGGCGCGGGAAGUCAACGGUGAAAGUUCGGGGCUCAACCCUGAAUCGGCCGUCGAUACUCCCGGGCUCGAGCACUGUAGAGGCAGAUGGAAUUCCGGGUGUAGCGGUGGAAUGCGUAGAUAUCGGGAGGAACACCUGUGGCGAAAGCGGCUCACUGGACCACAACUGACGCUGAGGCGCGAAAGCUAGGGGAGCAAACAGGG